GAAUCAGCAAACCACGUGGUCACCCAGCACCCCAUGGAACAUGGAGCAAUUGGCUAACUAUUGUCUCAGUGUUAGGUGGAGGCUUUGUCCAGUACUAUAAUUUGUAGACCACAGUGACAUAGCCCGGACCAUGGAGAGAGACCAUUGCUGAGGAGGUACGUGGGAAGGGCAAGUUCCUGGCCAAUCAGAUGAUCCUACAUGACGAAGCUGCUCGUAAAGAUGCAAGUCUGAUGACAAACUCAGGAUGAUGAGGCCAUGUUCAAACUGAACCCCAAUGCAAAGACGUCAAGUUCAAGCUGAAUGCCCAAGAGUUCAAACCUCCGAGAGCAAGCUUCUCUCCAGUGGUCACUGCCUCCUCCACACUUCUCCGAGACAAGGCGACUGUCGAGUCCUCAGCCUCUGUCCUACAAGAGCAAAAUAAUUUCGUUUCUGCUUGUUUCACCAAACUGGAGGUAAAAGUUUACGUAAGGACUUUGAGAAGGAGCGGGAAAAUGAGUACAAAGAGAAGUACCUCUCGCUAUUAGAGCAUACUAGGAUGAGUGCUGACUCGGCUCUGUUUAAGUCCAAGAGCAAGAAAUCAAAGUGGCUCGACUAGUGAGUUGUGUCACGUCAGUUAGUGUGUAGAGUUGUAGUGAUCGAUACACCUGUACAUACGUUUUCUUGCAAGUGCCUACUUAAUCUUGUCACUCUAUAGGGGUUCUAUAAAUUAUAGAGUACAGUAGUAGUUUUACUGUUUCACUGGAAGUAUAAUUAUGUAGUGCAAUAAAGUACGUGUCUAUGAUUCUACUAAAACUCUUUUCUUAAAAGUUUCAGCCUAUAGUCUAGUUUUAUUUUAUUACUCCCGUUACUUGCUUAGCCAGAUUAUACAUACUAUUGUACACUGCUUACUAUUGUAUAACACUUUGAGUAUUACUUUGAUUAUUGUGUGGGUAGGCACUUCAGCAUGUAAGUACGUACAUAUUGUAUACCAAUACAAGUGUUGUGUGUGGUGUCCCUUUUAUCAUAGUUGAGCCAUUUUGCAUUUCAGCCAGUGUAAAUUAUAGCUACUGUUGUCAUGUGAUUUUCUCACCCCUUACUUCCUAAGCUAUGACCAUGUGACUCUUUAACCCCUCAGUUUCCGAGCCCCACCCCUCACUGUCUGACUCGGAAGAGGAGAUAGACUUUGUAUUCUGGGAGAAGGCGUCCACCCUACCCUCGGACAAGACCCCAACCAAGGACCUGAACUUGUUAUGAGACUGUUAAAUAUUAUUUUGUCUGUUUUUGUACUAUUUUCUGGCAAUGUAAUUAUGUAUGUACCACUUCAUGUCAUCAUAAUAACUAUAAUUAUAUGCGAUAAAAUUCUGUUGCAA